UAGGAGCAUAAGAUGUCACUUCUCCUCAAAAAGAAGACCACAGCUACUGGUGAAUGGACAUGGCUUGAACGGAAAACUAAGGGAAGAGAGCCGGAACCUGUUGGAGUCCUGAUGGAAAGAAGCUGGGGUGCAGAAAAGAAAAGCAGAAAGAAUCUGGCAGAGAAUAACCCCCUGAGGAACUCGAAGCCCCACAGAAAGGUUGUUUACUCAGACCCAGGGAGUGACUGGUUGUGCAAUGGUGAGCAAAACGAAGCAUCUGCCUUUAACUCAGUGAGAGGAUGACAAUAAAUAAUCAUCAAACACAUCAUUGCAAAAUAGGAAGUGAAAUAAAAAGAAGAGCAUGAUGAAAUAGAGAAUAACAUGGGGUUGUGUAUGGAUGGAAUAAUUAAAGAAGGCAAGGGGAUCCUAAUGAAUGAGAAGAAGACAAAAAUCCUGGAAGGGAAAGAGCUUUCUUGCGGAAGGAAGACUAUAUGCAAAGACCUCAGGAAAAUGAGAAACUGAAAGAUGGGCCCUGUGACUAGCAUGAAGUGGGUGAAGGAGAAAUGAUGUGAAAUUAAAUUGAAGAAGUCAGCAGGAAUUAGACCUCCUACAGCCAUGCUGGCCAAGAUGCAGAGGCCACUUCAUUCCUUGUGCCAUGAGAAGCUUAACCUAAGAGAGAAGUGCCCAGAGGUGGUCUUGACUUUCUACCAAUGAUCCAGAUCUGAAGAUUAUUUUAGUAUCACAUUUCUAUUAUUUCACAGAAAUUGAGUAUAAAUUAAAUUGUAAUCUUUAAGAAGUAUAUAACUAUCAUAUCUCUCAUAGAUUUAAGAUAGCUGAAUAAUAUGAUAAAUUUGGACUUGCAAAAAAAGCAUUUAAUAUCUCCUAUAAAACAAUGCCCUACUAAGUGCUGAAGAUAAAACUUAAAUAGAGUACUCUAAAUCACUGCUCUGUUUAUGAUAUCACAAGAAAAGAUCUACUCUUUAAAUCCGCUGGCAAUGCUUCGCUGUUUCAUCCAGUUCAUUUCAUGUAUGAACUGGACUUACUGAAACAUUUGUAGGAAUACCCUUGCUAGGUAAAACAUGUAUCUGCAAUUUGAUAGCAUUAUUUGCAUUGCUGUCAUUUUGACUACGUAUCAUCUUGUUUUUUCUGCUUUUAGAUGUUCUUAAGGGCACAGUAAAUAGAGCUCCCUAGCAGCUUUUCUUUCCUAUUUGAUCCUCACAAAAACCAUACUUUGGCUGAGUAAAUAUUGUCUCCUUUUUAUAGAUGAAGAGGUACAAGCUAACCUCACUGAGCUUCAGAUUUCUAACCUAGAAAACGGAGGCAAUGAUACUUACCCUGCCAACAUCUCAUACCUACUCAGAUAAAAGAAAAUAAAAUAAUGGAUGGGACAGUGCCUGAAGAAAUAGAUACAUCAUGAAAGAUAAGCUAGGAUUAUUUCAUCAUAAAAUAGGACACUUCUGUAUCAUAAACAUUAUAAUACAGAUGUAUAAAAAGAGUGCAUAUGAUCCAUAUCACAUCUUCAUUUUGUUCUAAGCCCUCAUGGUAAUGAACUUUGAGAUGAAAGAAGACCUAAAUCUGUCACUACAGAGUGGCUCAAUCUCUUACAUUUUAAAACAUCUCCUUUUAGGUUAAUUCCUACCAUUUUUGGCAAAGGGUAAGUCAAUGUAAAGUUGAAAUUCCUCAUUAAGCUAUCUCACCUGAGUGAAAGAUUUCCUAGAAAAUAUGUGUGUACAAGAAGACACUUAUAUAUCCUUAUGGUAUUGUGGCAGGACCCCAGGGGUUAAACCAGCCCCAUGCUCCUCUCUGGCUCCCAUUGGCUCUUGGCUGAGGUAAACUCACUUUACCUGUGUUCAUGUUGGUCGCUAUCAUCUCUGCAUCUGCUUGUGAAGUUUUACAACUAGUAUCAUGCUAAUUUCUUCCCUCAGUCCAGCCAUAGUCCAGCAGUUCACAUCCUGCACCUCAGCCCAACCUCAUUUCUCUCUUCAGAUCAUCUAAGCUUCACCCCUGGGCUCCGUCUGAACCCUGACCAAGUCUGCCCUCUCUUCCACUUCUGGUAGGGGUUCUUUGCUCCCUUCACUACUGCAGCCCCAUUACAAACCUGCUGACUCUCAACCUUCGGUAUCACUGGGGACAUGUGAGAAAUUCUGAAUCUCUUCAGUGCUAUCAACAGGUGUGAGAGAACUGAAGGAAAGGAAGAGGAAUACUUUCUUCCCUGCCUCUCCCUCACGCUAUCCAGUUUCUACACUUGCUGCGUCCGCUUCUUGUAACAAAGGGUGCUCCACCAGGCUACCUCCAACCAGAAUCCCAAACUGGAAAUAGGACACAACUCCAUUCUGUCCCUGCUUUUGAAUUUACAACUAACCUGUCCUUUUUAUUCUACAUCUGUUCCUCACCUUGGGUUUCAAUGAAAAAAUGGGAGAAGAGCAAUGGUACCUUGUGGCUUCUAUCUCUCUCUGUUUCCUUCUCUCAACUCUUGUUCUUUUUCCUGAAACUGCUGUGAACUUCUUUACAUAAUAUUUUCCUUCUUUUCUACUUCUUUUCAUGUGGUGAAUAGUGGAGUGGCAUACUCCAAUUAUCUUGACCAAUAAAGGGAAAUAUAAUCAUGCACCAUGUGUGGUUGAUG
rnacentral:lncRNA from 10 species